UAUGCUAAGUAUACACUUUCAACAAUUUAAUGUGUACAGAAGACAUGUCUCCUUACAAUCGUUGAAUUUGAGAAUUAUUGACUAUUUUAUUGACUAUUCAACCACUCCUCCAUUUGAUAUGUACACAUGUACAAAGAUGGGAGUAAAUCAUUUUUAUCGCCUCAAUGCCAAUAAGUUAUAUCUCGUUGAAAACUAACAAAAGUUAAGUCUGGGUAUACAUAUAUCAAUGAGGUAAUCAACCCAUAUUAACACAAUAAUGACCACAUUGAUAUGCCAAAAUAUACCACAAACAUUUCUUUAAAACUGCUUGUUCAGAUUCCUAGUAUAAAAAUGCGCACAAUUUAUUGUUAUGAGCCUGUGCAUAUAGGAGACCCGCAUAUGAAUAUAACAUUUUCGCUGUUCCAUUCAUCUGCCUGUCGAGAAACAUUGGGCAGCAGUUUAUCUGUUAAGCGUUUCAAAUAAUAAUAAUAAUAAGGGGCUGGGUCUAGUAACAAAAGGUCAACUAUACUUAUAUAUCUAUCUCAAUAUACUUACUUUUUCACCACCAUGUCAGUAAAAUCGCUAAAACUCUCUCUCCCAUCCCGCUUCCCUCCAAUGUCAUCAUUUUUGCGCUCCUUCCCCUUUGAUGUUGGUUUGUACACGGUGGUUAUGCUGUAAGCGCUACUCACUCUAUCUUGUCUAUUUCUGUCUGUAUGGUGUUGUAGCUAGGAUGUAGAUUUGAAGGAAAGAGGAAAAACGUGUUUCACCGGAUAACGACAGAAAUUUGUCACAUGACAAAUACAGAUUUGGGUAUGAUUAUGCAGCUGUAUUUAUGGUCGUAUGUAAUUGAAAUAGCCAAGGAGAUGUUAUGACGAUAGACACUGACAUACAUAUAAUGUUUGUUUGCAAACGUUUUUAUAGUGGUUUAUAUUUUUAUAUAAUCACAUAUAUACAAAAUGUAAUGGUUGCAAUAUGUAAUACAUAUACAUAUAUCCAAAUUCAAUAAGAGUUAAGUAAUUAGAAAAUGACAAACAAGUAUUAUUUAUUAUGUGAUAUAUAUCAAACAAUACACUUUUACGAUAUAGUACAUUUGUCUUGAGGUAGAUGUUUCAUAAUUUGUAUAUAUUGAAUUAUAAUUAAUUUCUAAUUAAUCAUUGCAUAAGUGACAUUCCAUUUACUUUUAAUUUUGUCCUUUUUUUCUUAGUACGCGCACACUUCUAUUUUAUUAUAACAGGAUAGAUACAAAUUGCCCGUCGAAAUUGAAUGAAUAGUCUCCCUUUAUUACUUAAUUUCGAAUUCAAUGUAACGAAACGACAAAAGGAUCUAAUUCGUGAAGACAAGAUUUACAUACCAUGUUUGGAAUGCGGUCGAUUUAUAAUAUAUUUGAAGGAUCCUGAUAUAUUUCUAAAUGUCUUUUAUAUUCAAAUGACUUUGUUUUGUUCAUUGCAGAAGCAUGGAUUCGCGGAAUCGUGUCCUUCAACGAUUGGAGUAGACUUUUGGGAUACAGCGGGACAAGAACGAUUUAGAAACAUAGCUAAAGGUUAUAUGUCAAAGGAUCAUCAGCGAUCUGCAUCGUGUAUGACGUCACGUCAAUGAAUUCAUUUUAAAACAUAACAAAUCACAUAAACCCUGAUAUUGAAAAUCCAGAAAUAGUCAAAUUUAUUGUUGGAAAUAAAAUUGAAAUGGAAGACGAGCGACAGGUGACAUUUGAUGAAGGAAAGAAAUUUGCCGAUGAAAAUGGAUUGGAGUUUAGGGAAGUUAGUGCUGCCAAUGCUAAGGGUGUCAACGAGUUAUUUAUGUCCUUGGCGGAAGCAGUUUACCGGAAGAAAAACCCAGGAUCUACCGUUGAUUGGACAGGUUCUGCGACGAAUUGUUUUAGGAAAUGAUACGGAGAAUGCAUUUGAAGUAUCAAUAUAGACUAUUUGCAAGAAGUACUCGGUGACAGUGGAUACACAACGUGCAAUACACAGUCACCUGUGGGAAACGGAACACACCCUUUUAUUUACACCUUUAUUACGGCAACAAUGGACAAUACAACUCUUGGUGUCUAUUCCGUCCCCAGAAAAAUCCAUUUAAUCCUAUAAUUAUGCUGGAGAAAUGGUUGUGUUGAAUUCUUGCUUUUGCAGUUAAGGGCAUUGUUUUAUUUUAACUAAGUGUGUACUAAAACGACAACGUCAUUAACAUAUACAGUAAUAUCAUUAAA